rnacentral:sRNA from 1 species
AAUAUCGAAAGGCUCCCAGAAUUGUUCUCAUUUUCCAUUGACAUUUCCCUUUCGGCUGCAAUCCGGUCCGCAUCAAUGGAACGCCUCAAAAUGAAACCGCCAGCCAGAGGCAAUCGCCUGUCUGGCUCACUGGCUCACUGGCUGACUGUGGCUGGAGGUCCAUGCUCUCUUCCCUAGCCCGAACCGAGCCGGCAAGGACCCAGCGUCUCAGCAUCUCAGUCCGGGUAUCGUUACUCAGUUGCACAAAACGAGCAUAAAAAAUGGAAUGGAAUUUUCAGCAAAAUUAGCUGCCAAUUGUUUUCAAUGCACAGCGUCGACAUUCAGCUGAUAAAUUGAGAGCGAACAGAGAACGGAAAUUGUGCCAAACCAAGCAAGAAAUUUCAAAUUGCCAACAUCUGUGCGCUGCAGUUCGGGGCUCCUGCGCUUCUGGUUACCCCAGCGCAAUCCCAGUUGCUGCCACUUAAAGUGCGAUACUUUAAUGGAGCUGCCUAAUUUAUACAUAAUUUAUAACAAUUAAAGCGGCAUAACCUUGCGUCGGUUCAUGCGGCGUAUGCGCAAUGAAAAACUA